rnacentral:misc_RNA from 1 species
GAUGAAGAACGCAGCGAAAUGCGAUAAUUAAUGUGAAUUGCAGAAUUCCGUGAAUCAUCGAGUUUUUGAACGCACAUUGCGCCCCUUGGUAUUCCGAGGGGCAUGCCUGUCCGAGCGUCAUUGCAACCCUUCAAGCACGGCUUGUGUGUUGGACGGCCGCCCCGAUGUGGGCGGGUCCUAAAUGCAGUGGCGGCGCCGCGAUCCGGGUGCUCGAGUGCAUGGAAACCACGCGCUCAGUUGGCACCCGUCGGGCGUCGGCCGGUCCACCUAUUCUUCUUUGGUUGACCUCGGAUCAGGUAGGAAUACCCGCUAAACUUAAGCAUAUCAAUAAGCGGAGGA